rnacentral:rRNA from 1 species
AGAGUUUGAUUCUGGCUCAGGAUGAACGCUGGCGGCGUGCCUAACACAUGCAAGUCGAGCGGAGAGGUUGCGGAGAUUCAAUCGAUGAUCUGCUUCUUCUUAGCGGCGGAUGGGUGAGUAACACGUGGGUAACCUGCCCUGCACUGGGGAAUAACAGUUGGAAACGACUGUUAAUACCGCAUAUGCGCACGGGGUCGCAUGACCCCGGGCGGAAAGAUUUAUCGGUGCAGGAUGGGCCCGCGUCGGAUUAACUGGUUGGUGAGGUAAUGGCCCACCAAGGUGAUGAUCCGUAGCCGACCUGAGAGGGUGACCGGCCACAUUGGGACUGAGACACGGCCCAAACUCCUACGGGAGGCAGCAGUGGGGGAUAUUGCACAAUGGGCGCAAGCCUGAAUGCAGCGACGCCGCGUGAAGGAAGACGUAUUUCGGUAUGUAAACUUCUAUCAGCGGGGAAGAAGAUGACGGUACCCGACUAAGAAGCCCCGGCUAAUUACGUGCCAGCCGCUGC